UGCAAUGCGCAGACAACACUGGUGGAUAUUAUAACGAAAGGAGUUCCACCUUCCACUCUACCGCCCAACAAAGUGAGACAUGGACAGGCUAGGGGCUCUCUGAAAGCUAGACACCAAGUCGGUGACAGACGCAGGGCGGGGAAGUCGGAUCGAGUUUGAAACAAUGUACACUGGGCGUCACUCCGCACCCGAGCUUCCUUCAGCUCUCCCAGCUCUUUCCGAGCGCUAGGCCCAUCUGGCCCUGCGCUGAUCUCCGGGCUUUGUCGCGCAACUGGCAUAAACCGUGACGACAGCCCUGCGGAAAUGCACGAGCGGCCUUCUCCUCAGCCAGGGUUAAGCUUCAACCACUGGAGAGAGAUGCCCAAUGCCACAUUGGGUCCUCUGAAAAGCAGAUGCCAAGAUGAAGUUACAAGUCCAGAGAUCUAUUGUGGGUAAUGAUUAAGAAGAUAAAGAGGAAGAGCAGGAGUAGGCAGGGGAGAAUUCAGACCAUAGUACAGGUCUGACACUUAUUAAAGGAGAGGAAAUUAAGGAGGAAUGGGUACAAAAUGCCUCAGACUGCAGUGCAACUCUGUGGAAUUUCCAGCCAGCCCAACUGGGAACUCUAGAGCAAAGAUUACUAAUUAUAAGAAUCCCACAUUGAGCAUAAAUGUUCCUAAUAUCCCUUCUGUGCUCAGAAAUUGACUGGAGAUGCCUGGGAUGGGUAUGGCCUUGGGUAAAAUGACGCAAAAAUAUCCCCAAAGUGCUACAGCUGGAGGCUGUUGUCUAACUCCACUGCCCACAGUAGAUUUUCUCUUGAAAGAAAAUCUGAAAGGCACCUGCCACAGACACUGGGAGAGGGAUUCAUCAUCAAGCUUUAAGUCAUCAAGACCAAUUAACUGUAGUUAAGUGACUGAUGUCAUAUUAUAGUAAAGGACAGUUUUCAAGAGUGACCAACCAUCCCAGUUUGCCUGAGACUGAGAGAUUCCCUAAAGGUUUUCCUAAAACUAUGAUACUCCAAGGUAAACUGGGAUGGUUGCUUUUCCUAGUGUUAAUAGGCAUGGGAAGGGCAUUUAAGAUAAUCUUAUAGGAUUUUAAACUGUAUGAACAAUUGCAUCUUACUGCAUUUUAUGGAGGAAAUUCUCUGGUAUAGUGGUUUUAUUAGAUUAGGGGAACUUAUGAAGGUCUCAGGACUAGUCCCAUGAAAAUGCCAAAGGUUUCAUAUUUUAUUUCUUGUCGUGUUCACUCUCUUGUGCAUUUAUAUAUGCCUAGUCCAUCUAGAAAGUUUCUCUCACUGAAACCUGCUUACCCUUCUUACCACUGUUAGAGAGAAAUGCCUCUUCCCCAAUGCUUUGUUUUCUACAAGGAAGGAUUUCCCCAAAUAAGGAUUAAGUCACAUAAUAAAUUCUAAGCAACUAUCAUAGAGCAUGACAUAAAGUAACAGCUUGCGUCAGUCAGGACUCUUAGCUGCAUGCGACAGAAGCUGAAUCUGCAUGAUUUAAACAAAGGAAAGUUUAAUAAAUCUAUAUUGUUAAUGGCACCAGACUAGCACUCAUGCUAUUACAGAAAUCAUAAAACUGCAUAAUAUAUGCAAAGAAACUGUUUACAGGCAUUAACUGCAUAAUAUAUGCCAAGAAACUGUUUACAGGUAUUGAACAAUAGUCAGCACAUGACUGUGAUUUACAUUAAAAGAGAAACUCACAAGGUAAGCCCCCAGGAUCACUCCAUUCUUUGCCUGGUGUCAAUUUUCUGACGCCAACAUAGAAAGCUACAUUCCAAGAUGAGUUUAGCAUUCUCACUAACCUCAGGAGGCAAGGAUCAGAGUUCAGAGCAGCUAACCAAAUUAAAUCCAUGGAACAAGACAUUAGAGAAGACAAAGCUGUGAAGAUGUUUGAAUGUCUUGGGGUUUCCAACAAAUCUUUACAAAUAGGGAAAAUAGAACUUACACUUCUUGGUUUCAAGACUUCUGUAAAACUACACUUAUCAAAACAGUAUGAUAUUGUAGACAAAUAAGUCAAUGGAACAGAUUAGAAUCCAGUAAUAUACCUAUACAUAUAUGGCCAUUCAUUCAUUGAUUGAUUCAUUUAUUUUGGGGGGUUUGUUCAACCAUUAACCAAUCAAAGAACAUCUGAGCUGUUUCCAGUAUUUUUCUACUGUGAAUAAAGUUGCUAUGAACAUU